AAAAAGUUGGUGCUGGAAGUUGGGUCUUCGGCCAUAAGCUCAAAACCUCUAAGAAGUACCCAUGGUUGAUGCUGUACCUCAGAGCUGAUGCAACCAAAGGAUUUUCUGGAGGGUGUCACUAUCACUAUGACACAAGAGGCAUGCUCAAAAUUCUUCCAGAGUCACCCAAUUUCAGGGUUAAAGUGACAUUGGAUGUCAAGCAAGGGGGAGGAUCCAAGAGCCAGUUCUAUUUAAUAGAUAUUGGUAGCUGCUGGAAAAACAAUGGUGAUCCUUGUGAUGGAGAUGUACUCACUGAUGUAACCAGAUACAGUGAGAUGAUCAUCAAUCCUGCAACUCCUGCUUGGUGUGGUCCCAGUAGUCUAGAGAACUGCCCACCAUAUCACAUUACCCCAAAUAACACAAAAAUUCACAGGAAUGAUACAGCCAACUUCCCCUAUGGGGCUUAUCACUACUACUGUGCUCCAGGGAAUGCCCAAUUUUUGGAGAAACCAGUAAGCACUUGUGAUCCUUAUAGCAAUCCUCAGGCACAAAAGCUAGUUCAGUUGCUGCCUCAUCCCAUAUGGGCUGAAUAUGGCUAUCCAACAAAACAAGGGGAUGGUUGGGUUGGGGAUGCCAGAACUUGGGAGCUUGAUGCGGGUGCACUGUCUAGUAGACUGUACUUCUAUCAGGAUCCAGGUACCCCU
rnacentral:misc_RNA from 1 species